rnacentral:lncRNA from 1 species
UUAAGUCACAACUAAGUCACAUGAUUAUUAUAGAUUACCAAAGCAAAAUGUCACAUUCUUCUUGGUGUUACUAUGUGUUUAGCUAUAUUUAUGAUGACAGGAGUUGUUUGGUUUGCAUAUAGUGUUUUGCAAUAUUACUUUUAUUAAGUAGCAUAUAUACUCAUGUAGAAGACUAGAAACAUUAGUCAAAAAAGCAACACAGAAAAUCUGGUCUUACCUUAUCCAGAGGUCAGCAGAAAUUCUGUACCUUAACCAUUAAAAAAGGGGACCAUACCCAUCUCUGAGUACAAUGCUAAAGGCAAGAGCUUAGUCCGUCCCAGGAUAACCUAAAAUAAGCACCAACCCCUUCUACUUUCCUCACUAUGGUGCCAUCUCUGGCCUUUUUGGAUGCCUGAGUGGGGAAGUGGCAGUGGUGGCCAGGGUCAACUGCUCCUUGGAGGUGCCAUUGGUGCUUUGCCUUCUUCAGAGAAUGACCGUUGACAUAUCCACAGGUCAUAUCAAAAUAUAUAACUUUGCCCCCAAAUGUUUCCAUUGACUUAUACAUGAGGUCAGUAUAUACAUCAGCAUAUAUGGUAUCUAAAAGAAUAUUAGGAAAGUAAAGAAUUACUCCACAAAUGUAGCUCUGGCCUGUUUGGUUUCUCUGAUCUGUAGGUACUAAUCCAGUGAAUGAGGUCCUGGGUAAUAAAGAAAAUAAUAAGAAUAAUAAUGCAAGCCUCUACAAUAUAUCAAAAUUAAAUUCUUAAGUCAACCGCAUCACCUCAUAGUCAAAUGAAGAAAAUAAGUAUUUUAUAUUGGCAAGUCAAGUGUCAUUUCAGUUUGUAAACAUGAUAAACAAAUCUAUAUUUCUAUUUGGAUUUUAGGUCAUUCUCUCACAGAGGCCCACAUAUUUUCCCAGAUCUGAAAGUCUUUUAUAUCCUGGGAAAGACAAAGGUUAAGGGGUUUCCAUUGGUAGCCAGCCGAGGGAAACCUGGUAGUUGCAAAGCCGUCUGUACAUUUGCUGGCGAGAGCUACGAGGACUUCUUUGGCUGCCACCAACCGAGGGAGGCUC